rnacentral:rRNA from 1 species
UACGGGGGGAGCAAGCGUUGUUCGGAUUUACUGGGCGUAAAGGGCGCGUAGGCGGUCGUGACAAGUCACUUGUGAAAUCUCCGGGCUUAACUCGGAACGGUCAAGUGAUACUGUCGGACUAGAGUACAGAAGGGGCAACUGGAAUUCUCGGUGUAGCGGUGAAAUGCGUAGAUAUCGAGAGGAACACCUGCGGCGAAGGCGGGUUGCUGGGCUGAUACUGACGCUGAGACGCGAAAGCGUGGGGAGCGAACAGG